AUGCAGAUCCGGGAUGGCCUGCGGCGGCAAGCGCCAUCGGCCACUGGGGCGAUGCGGUCGCCGAUGUCGGCGAUGAUGCUCGCCAUGUUCGCCACCAUGGCAUCCUUCUACGUCGCUGGCCGAUUGUGGCAGGAUGCACAGAAUCGGGUUUACCUGAUAAAAGAGCUCGACAGGCGAACCGGCCAGGGGCGAUCGGCAAUAUCAGUGGACGAUACUUUGAAGGUUGUUUCAUGCAGGCAGCAAGGCAAGCGGUUGGCAUCACUCGAGAUGGAGUUGGCUGCAGCAAAGCAUGAAGGAUUUGUUGGCAAAUAUACCUCUGAGACAAAUGCGACUCAUUCUAGGAAGAAGCCUCUGGUUGUUAUUGGGAUAAUGACAAGCUUUGGUAGAAAAAAUUACCGUGAAGCUGUCAGGAAAUCAUGGCUUCCGACAGGUUCACUGCUGAAGAAACUAGAAGAUGAGAAAGGCAUUGUAGUACGUUUCAUAGUUGGAAGAAGUGCAAAUCGAGGAGAUCGUUUUGACAGGGAAAUCGAUGACGAGAAUAGAAGUACAAAUGAUUUUGUGAUCUUGGAUGAUCACAUAGAGUCUGAUGAAGAGCUCCCUAAGAAGACAAAACGUUACUUUGCUAAUGCUGCAGAGACAUUUGAUGCUGAAUUUUAUGCUAAGGUCAAUGAUGAUAUAUACAUAAAUGUUGACACUCUGAGUGCAAUGCUUGAAACUCACUGGGACAAGCCUCGUGUCUACAUAGGCUGUAUGAAAUCUGGGGAGGUCUUUUCUGAAGCGACCCAUAAGUGGUAUGAACCGGAUUGGUGGAAAUUUGGUGACGGGAAAUCAUACUUUCGACAUGCUUCUGGUGAAAUGUUUGUCGUAUCAAGGGCCGUGGCUCAGUUCAUUUCUAUAAACAGGUCUGUUCUCCGGACAUAUGCACAUGAUGAUGUUAGUGUUGGAUCGUGGAUGAUUGGGCUUGCUGUAAAGCAUGUAAAUGAAGCAAAGCUAUGUUGUUCAUCAUGGCCCUCAGGAGCCAUGUGUUCAGCUCUUUGA
rnacentral:rRNA from 1 species